UCUUUUAAUUAUCGUUAUUCUUAGAUAUAACCAGUGACUGUUUUAAUAGUAUUCUGUUGUUUAAGUAGGUACUUGGAUAGUACCACAACUGGUGAACGCAUCUACCUAAAAUGUGUUUUUUUACAUUUUUUCAAACACAUUUUUUCACAGCUUGUACUGGUUAGUAAACGCGUUGUUAUUAUCUUAUUAGGUAAUUUGCUACCUUAAUAGUUCUAUCCCAAACUAAAAUCUUCAUUUGUGGUGAGAUAUGUCUGUGGCUAUCUCUAUGUUCUAAGAAAACAUUCAGUCUUUAUAACUAAGUUUUUUCAAAUAGUUUUACUUUACUUAGGGACCGUUUCUUUUUUACUGSUAUUUCGCACCUUCCGUACUACCAGUCAAAAAUGGAACAUACCCUAUCAAGCAGUUCCCUCUGUCGGUCGAAUUAAAAAGGUACUUAUCCAACGGAUUGUUAUGAGCUCGAUAUAACUUUGCCUGUCACCGUUCGGAAACCCAUAAAAUCUUAUCGGUCUUAUAACUUUAUCUACUACAUAGUUAUGGAACCAAUAAGGGCAAAUGUUGAGAAACCGGGCAAGUAUAAUUUUCAAUUAACAUAGGCGACCAUUAAAAGAGAUAAUCAUUUCCACGGGUUUCAAUUUUUCAAAUAGUUUUUCAAUGUAAUGGUUGUGUCAAACUUCAAGCAUGUAAUGAAGAUAUGAAGGUAGAAAAUCAAAAAAAGAUUUUAUUGUCACAAUAAAUUAAUUAAAAUAAAUAUUUACUACGCCUAUGGCUAGUGGCCAGGCGAGCGUGUCCUUGGAUUAAUUCUACUGUCUAUAAAACAUGCGUGGGCACCUACUUUAUCCCUACCACCUGUUUUUUAUUGAUAAAUCGCCGAUCGAUAGAAUUUAAUGUUGGACCCAAACAAAUCGGGAUUUAUGCAUUUGUCUUCAUCUAUGGAUUUAUGAGUGACUAGCUUGGUCUAUUUAUUAAUAUGUCUUUGGUUAUACAGGAGCGUGUCUCGUUGGCGGCGUUUUAGAUAAGCGGUGCUCUCAGUCCUCUGUGCGCAACACAUAUCUUAUAAAAAUUAACAAAUUUCUGAUUCGAUCGAAUUUGACUAAUGAAAAGGCGGAAUUAAUGACUAGUCCGCCGUAUAGUCUUGACUUUUUGUGUCUUCAUGUUCUCCUCCUCUUGUUUUCCUGUUCCCGAGUGUUAAGAGAAAGGUGAAGGGAAGACCCUGAAACUGAACAGAAGCGGCCAAAGCGUUCGAAAACGUCGUUUUAUCGUUACAAACAAUAAAGUCUUCUUGAAAAAAAAGAUGCAUAUGUACAGCAUUACAGCAUAUGUACAGCAUACAUUUUCAGCAUAUGUACUCGGUUUGAGGAAAUUGCAAAAAAAAUUCAAAGAACUUUCGCGGUCGUUACUUACUACUGGUAAAAUUUUCAGUUCAAACAUCAGGAAUAAUUUCUAAUUUGUAACGGCCAAAAAUCCCAAAAACGCACCAGUUUUAAGUGGAAGUAAGGAAUAGUUUUGCUGUUACUUUCCUUUAAACGCUUGAAAGCACAUGGCCGUCAUAUAAAACGCCGCUAUUGAAGUUGCAAGCGCGACUGCCCUGUGAAGAACAUCUAGUUUGAUGUAGUCUCUUUGAUAAUUCAUUAAUAAUAACAUGUUCAGACCCAAUAUUAAACUUUGUAUAUCCUACCAAAAGUGAUGCUUUCGAGUUUUUUUUUCAUAUUAUGAAAAGAUCACUAGGUGGUCCGGAUGUUGACAAAACUGACCAUUUUAAAUUAUGUGUGUGAGAAGAGAAAGGAGGCCCGUCAGGCAGUAAUAAACUUAAAAUAGAAAUAUGCCAAUAUCGCCGGGCGGCCCAUCAAGAACGGUUUGGGAAAACCGCAUGGCGCCGCUCACAGCCGAGGAGGUUGUGAGAAGGUUCGAGGCAAUUGAGUCCAGACUGGAGGCCACC